AUUGAACGCUGGCGGCAGGCUUAACACAUGCAAGUCGAGCGGGGUGAUGGUGCUUGCACUAUCACUUAGCGGCGGACGGGUGAGUAAAGCUUAGGAAUCUGCCUAUUAGUGGGGGACAACAUCUCGAAAGGGAUGCUAAUACCGCAUACGUCCUACGGGAGAAAGCAGGGGAUCACUUGUGACCUUGCGCUAAUAGAUGAGUCUAAGUACGAUUAGAUAGUUGGUGGGGUAAAGGCCUACCACUGCGACGAUCUGUCGCGGGUCUGAGAAGAUGAUCCGCCACACGGGGACUGGAGCACGGGCCAGAGGCCUACGGGAGGCAGGAGUGGGGAAUAUUGGAAAAUGGGGGGAACACUGAUCAAACCAUGCCGGGUGUGUGAAGAAGGCCUUAUGGUUGUAAAGCACUUUAAGCGAGGAGGAAGCUGUUUUGGUUAAUACCCAAGAUGAGUGUACGUUACUCGCAGAAUAAGCACCGGCUAACUCUGUGCCAGCCGCCGCCGUAA
rnacentral:rRNA from 1 species